rnacentral:rRNA from 1 species
UACGUAGGGACCAAGCGUUGUUCGGAAUCACUGGGCUUAAAGGGCGCGUAGGCGGGCUACCAAGUCUGUGGUGAAAUCCUCCAGCUCAACUGGAGAACGGCCGUGGAUACUGGGAGCCUCGAGGGAGAUAGGGGCAGGCGGAACUGAUGGUGGAGCGGUGAAAUGCGUUGAUAUCAUCAGGAACUCCGGUGGCGAAGGCGGCCUGCUGGAUCUCAUCUGACGCUGAGGCGCGAAAGCCAGGGGAGCAAACGGG